AGCGAACGCUGGCGGCAGGCCUAACACAUGCAAGUCGAACGAACCUUUUGGGGUUAGUGGCGGACGGGUGAGUAACACGUGGGAACGUGCCUUUAGGUUCGGAAUAACUCAGGGAAACUUGUGCUAAUACCGAAUGUGCCCUUCGGGGGAAAGAUUUAUCGCCUUUAGAGCGGCCCGCGUCUGAUUAGCUAGUUGGUUGAGGUAAUGGCUCACCAAGGCGACGAUCAGUAGCUGGUCUGAGAGGAUGAUCAGCCACAUUGGGACUGAGACACGGCCCAAACUCCUACGGGAGGCAGCAGUGGGGAAUCUUGCGCAAUGGGCGAAAGCCUGACGCAGCCAUGCCGCGUGAAUGAUGAAGGUCUUAGGAUUGUAAAAUUCUUUCACCGGGGACGAUAAUGACGGUACCCGGAGAAGAAGCCCCGGCUAACUUCGUG
rnacentral:rRNA from 1 species